CAGCAGCCGCGGUAAUACGUAGGUGGCAAGGGUUGUCCGGGAUUAUUGGGCGUAAAGGGCUCGCAGGCGGUUUCUUAAGUCUGAUGUGAAAGCCCCCGGCUCAACCGGGGAGGCUCAUUGGAAACUGGGGACCUUGAGUGCAGAAGAGGAGAGUGGAAUUCCACGUGUAGCGGUGAAAUGCGUAGAGAUGUGGAGGAACACCAGUGGGGAAGGCGACUCUCUGCUCUGUAACUGACGCUGAGGAGCGAAAGCGUGGGGAGCGAACAGGAUUAGAUACCCUGGUAGUCCACGCCGUAAACGAUGAGUGCUAAGUGUUAGGGGGUCUCCGCCCCUUAGUGCUGCAGCUAACGCAUUAAGUACACCGCCUUGGGAGUACGGUCGCAAGACUGAAACUCAAA
rnacentral:rRNA from 1 species